CUGAGGUCUACGGUCUGGUCUGACACUUUUAUGUAUUGAUGUCAGCAGUCAAUUCAUAUUAAUUACUUUUUAUCAGUUAUCACUAUUUUGUCUGUGGUCGUUGGAGAAUGUGUAGAAAGGGAAUUUAUCGAUAAUUCGAUUAAGGUUCAAGAAUCGCAGGGUUGCAGUCUUAAAGUAAUAGAUUUACAAAAGAAAUUGGAUUUUGCACGUUCUCAGAUCAAACGAUUACCAGGUAUUGAAUUCAAUAAACAGG